GAUGAACGCUAGCGGGAGGCUUAACACAUGCAAGUCGAGGGAUAGUUUCAGCAAUGGGACGAAAACCGGCGCACGGGUGAGUAACGCGUAUGCAACCUGCCCUUUACCGGGGGAUAGCCCGUCGAAAGGCGGAUUAAUACCCCAUAAGAUCAUAGUCCUGCAUGGGACAGUGAUUAAAGCUUAGGUGGUAAAGGAUGGGCAUGCGUGACAUUAGCUGGUUGGUAGGGUAACGGCCUACCAAGGCUACGAUGUCUAGGGGUUCUGAGAGGAAGGUCCCCCACACUGGUACUGAGACACGGACCAGACUCCUACGGGUGGCAG
rnacentral:rRNA from 1 species